rnacentral:lncRNA from 1 species
AAGGAAAGUUCACUGGAGAUCAGUAUGCUGCAAAUCCAAGAUUACCCAAUAUAAUAUGGAAGUAUACGCAGGGCGUAAUGCAGUAGUAAAACAGACGAAUGGAUUUUAAGAUAUAUUCACAAAUGUUUCAUUAAGAGAUUUUAAUGUGACGUAGCAUUAUACAAGAAGGUAUAUAUAGAUGUGCAAAAUUGAUAAGACUAUUCGAAAUGUUACAUUUUAUCUCUCAAAUCUGCCGAUUACACUAUAAUUAAAACAGAGAACAUACAGACAAAAGAGAGAACAUACACGCAAAAGUUACUGUCAGGUAAAUAUACACAUUUUCUUUUUACGAACAUAUUGGAAAUUCAUUGUUUCUAUUAAUAUAUUUUUGAUAGACAUUGAUCAUAGACCCUAAUAAUUUCUCAUUAUUUUUACAACACUUUCAUUUAAUUUCAUUCAAUAAAUACCCCAAUGGGACAAAUUAUGUUGGAAUCUUUAUAUCUUAAUCCUGAUCUCCACGACUAAUGCUGAGUUCUUUUGCUUUAUCCAUUUUCGUUUUGUUUGGUCUUGUCAGAUAUUAGCCCCCUUUUCAGCUUCUUUUUACAGUACGUUUUUUAAAAAUAACCCAGAUUGUGGUUUUUACAUUUUCCUCUCAACUGUCCUCAGUUGUUUUUUUUUUGCGGAGUGAGGAGGGGGCUUUCCUGAAGACAGAAAACAAUUUUUCUUUGGUCAUAUUUGAUAUGUACUCUCUUUACUCUCUUUUACUCUUUUACUUGUUUCAGUCAUUUGACUGCGGCCAUGCUGGAGCACCGCCUUUAGUCGAGCAAAUCGACCCCGGGACUUAUUCUUUGUAAGCCCAGUACUUAUUCUAUCGGUCUCUUUUGCCGAACCGCUAAGUGACGGGGACGUAAACACACCAGCAUCGGUUGUCAAGCAUUGCUAGGGGGACAAACACAGACACACAAACAUAUACACACACACUUAUAUAUAUAUACAUAUAUACGACAGGCUUCUUUCAGUUUCCGUCUACCAAAUCCACUCACAAGGCAUUGGUCGGCCCGGGGCUAUAGCAGAAGACACUUGCCCAAGAUGCCACGAAGUGGGACUGAACCCGGAACCAUGUGGUUGGUUAGCAAGCUACUUACCACACAGCCACUCCUGCGCCUAUGUAUUUGUAUUAAUUUCAUUAUUUACUGAAUAUUUUAUAUCCCAGCAGUAGAUAUUUUAUACUAACCCUGUUAUUGCAGAAGAGCUCUGACUGCGAUAUUCGCUGAAAAUAUAUUUGUCUGCUUUUGGAUAGGAUAUCCUAAAUGCUGCUAUUAUUUCUCUGAAUUAGUAAGACAAGGCAGGCAGUCUUGUCAUGCUAAUUCAGUUAGUGUCCAGUUGGGUGAAUAACUAUAUUUUAGUUGUAGAGUACCAAGAAAAUUCUUGUUAAGUGUGUUGGAUAGUCAUAUACUCUUAGCUGGCUGUUCACAAUGUUAGGCGGGUUGUCUGUAAAGACAAUGACCACAGUAAAAUUUAAUUGAGCUUUCAAAUAUUUUAUUAACCUGCAUCGUUUAUAUUCACAAGUGUAUUUCCAAUAAAUUAAUGGAACAAUGUUCAACGAACAUAGCAGUUAGAAAUCGUCUGUAUUACAACUUGCUAGAUAAUAUUAUGAAAGUAGUGCACAGAAUUUAAAUUGCUGCAUAUGCGAGUAAUUAAUGUGCCUUUCUUGAUACUUCGAGUCAAGGUUGGUGCCUUUUGGCAAUUACGACACAAGUAUGUUACAUAAUGGAAGUGAAAGCGACAAAUUCACUGAGACAAGUAACAUCGAUUCCCUUAGACAGCUGAAUUUGAGAUUGAGUUUGCCACCUUUUAUAGCUGUGAGUCACACUUCUAGAAUCUUGGGCAAAUUUGUUUGUCGGUAAAAUUUGCACAUUUCCUUUAUAGUUUGCUGCAUCAACCAUAAGUCAGCCAAUGCUGAUUGGUCAAGGUGUUAACGUGUGGUGUUAAUACUUUCUAUAGCGAUACUUUUCCUUUUAUGGUGAUACAUUAGUUCGUGGUUCUGGAUAGGGAAAUUUUGAGAAUUUGAGAAAUAUGGUUCCAAAUUCAGCAAGGGAACUUGCCACAUUAUUGGAUUUCUUUUAUGUAGUUAGAUCUGCUUUUAGUAUUAAUAUAAUCUAAGGCAUCCAUAACAUUCAUUCAUAACCUUGUCUUUCAUUUGCAUGUUAUAUUCUUCUAGCUCUUUCAUUGAUUCCUAGGGAUUUGUCAAUCAGGUCUUGGUCCAAUUCUCUCAUCUAUUUUUCUUUAUCAAACAAUAUUAUUAGUAUUUUUAUAUUUUUUUCCCUGGCCUGUCAUGAUUUAUCUGAAUAUUACGUAUUUUUCUAAAUCUGUCGUAUUUUUAUACGUUAUUAUUAAUAUUAUUUCACUUUUAAUCUGCAUGUUUGUUACAGUCAGUUGCCAAGAGACACCUAACGUCUCAGGGUGAGAGGUGUUGCAGUAUGACUGAAAGCUGGGGGAGGGGAAGUGGCAGGGACAGUAGCGAAAUAUCAUCACGUAAUACAAUACAGACAUUUGAAUGGAUAGGAUAUUUCUAAGGAUCUAGACAGUAUUUGUCAGCACAAUCUUUUGGGUUUCUCUGAGACAUGGUUCUCCUGGGAUCUUAUCUAGAUGUUUCUGACAUCCCCUUUUUAUCAUACCUAGGGCGCCUACAAUAACAGGAAAAGUUCUUGCUUUAAGAUGCCACAUCUUGCGUAUUUCAAUUUCCAGGUCCUUAUAUUUACUUAAUUUGUCAAAAUUUUUUUAGAUAUAUUUUUAUCAGUGGGAAUACUUACAUCUAUUAGUCUACAAGUAUUUUCUUCCCUGUCUUUAAUAAUUAUGCCUGGUCGAUUAGCCUGGAUUUACUGUCAGUGUUGACUGGAAAAUCUCAGAGGAUAGUGACAUUUCUACCUUCAACGACUGACUCAGGAUGAUGUUCAUACCAGUAAGCGGGAGUGCUGAUUUUGUAAUGUUUACAUAGUUUCCAAGGUAAUUACUGAUCUACCCUAUAGUGGCAAUUUCUGUAUUCGUUUAGUGUCAGCACAGGACAUCCCUAGAUGAAAUGGUCUGUUUUGUCAAAUGUGUCGCAGAAUCUGCAUUUAGGGUCAGAACCGUUUUGAAGAACGUUAGCUUGGUAGUUUUUGGUAAGCAAACUUUGAUUUUAUGCAGCCAAUAUGAAACCCUCUCAGCCACUGAUGGGUUGUUGCUUGCUCUACACCAGCAUUUCGGCUUCGAAGUAUAUACUCUCCAUGCAGAGGCUUCUGGUUUCACCGCUCCUGAAUUUGUGUCUACUCUUUCUUUUUUGCAGUGUUUGAUCCGUUUUGCUUUUUUUGGUGGCAGUGGUUUCAGGCUCUUCAUCUAAUUCAGGGUUCAUGCCAAGUUCCCUUGCGAACUUGCAAGCUUCCUUGACAAUAGAAUGUGAUUUUUUGCUGCUUUCGUGUUAGAAUACAAACCGCAGCAUCCAAUCCUCUGUACUAGAUAAGUACCCGUUCCUUGCUAUUGUGGAAGUCUUAUAGAACAGUUCUACGUGCAUCAUUUAUCUUUCCCCAUUACUUCUAGGAAGGUAGACACGAUCAACAUCUGUUUUUGUGUGGUGCAUAUUCUUAGGUGCUAGUAGUUUUCUUGUUUUCCUGUCCAGUUGUUAUCAUCGUCAUUAUCAUCAGUAUUACUACUACUACUACUACUACUACUACUACUACUACUACUACUACUACUACUACUACUGCUGCUGCUGCUGCUGCUGCUGCUGCUGCUACUACUACUACUACUACUACUACUAUUAUUAUCAUUAUUAUUAUUAUCAAUUAUUAUUAUUAUCAAUUAUUAUUAUUACCAAUUAUUAUUAUUAUUAUUAUUAUUAUUGUUAUUAUUAUUAUUAUUAUUGUUAUUAUUAUUAUUAUUAUUAUUAUUAUUGAGUGAAAGAGCAAUGCCUGCCAUCAAAGUGACACUGGGACACAAAUAUACGAAGCCCAAUAUACCCAUCAUGAUUACCCCUCUGAUAAGGGUACACCAGACACAUGCAUCACAACCAUAUGUGCGCGACAUGGUAAUUUCAUAUCAAGAUAAACAAACAGCGCAUGACCUUGCAGGUGGGGCCCAGUUAGAAUUUUCUUCUGGUCGAUUAGCCCAUCCCAAAGGUGAAUUAUUCAAACCCCCCAAAAUUUCUCUCAACACAUGAAUAUGAUGCACCCCAACUACUUCUGCUUGUGAUCAGAGAUUCAAUCAGUUAAUAUCAAAAGCCAUGAGAGGAAUUUAUAAUUAUUAUUAUUAUUAUUUUAUUAUUAUUAUUAUUAUUAUCAUUAUUAUUAUUAUUAUUAUUAUUAUUAUUAUUAUUCUAUGUUUGACUUUUGCUUUAUAUUUGUACAAGUUGGCUCCAAGUCUCACCCAGAGACCUCAAGAGACAACAGGGUUGGAAGUUCAUGCUGUUGUUAUGCCUAGUGUGCCAUAUAUUUGGGGGGUGGGGAUGUUGUACUAAUGAAUGUCUAAAAAGAAAAAAAAAAGUUUUUUUUUUUUUUUUUUUUUUUUUAAACCGAAAAUUAUGUUUGUUUUAAACCUUGAGAUUACAUAGAGAGUAUUUUGCGUAGGAUAUGAGCAGUUCCCAUGAGCACUAUCUUUUGAACUUCUGCCAUUUUUGGGUUUCCUGGUAUCUGAGUUAGGUAGCUAUCAGCCCCUUUUGCUAUCAUUCCCAGGGCACCUAUGACAACAGGUAUUGUUUUAGUCUUCAGCUUCCACAUUUUGCUGAUUUCUAUUUCAAGAUCUUUAUAUUUGCUCAGUUUUUGGUAGGUCUUGACAGAUACGUUUAUAUCGAUUGGGACAGUCAUAUCAAUGAGGAGGCAUGUUCUUUGUUUGAAGUUUUUCAAUAUGAUGUCUGGCCUAUUUGCAUCUAUCUUCCUGUCAGUUUGAAUGGUGAAGUUCCAGAGGAGUGAGAUGUGGUCAUUUUCAAGCACUGGGGGUGGUUUGUGUUCCCACCAGUUUUUUUCAUGGGGCAAAUCCAGGUUUUUACAGAUUACCCAGUGAAUAUAUUGUGCAGCUCUAUCGUGCCUGUUGAGAUACUCUGUAGGCGCUAGAAGACUGCACUUGGAGACCACAUGGUCAAUGGUUUCAUUUUGUUGCUUGCAUACACGACACGUUGGACUGCUUCUGAUCUUUAAUAUGUUGGCCUGGUAGUUUCUUGUUGGUAGGCAUUGAUCUUGAGCUGCUAUGAUAAACCCCUCUGUUUCAGAUUUUAAGCCAGAGGCCAUUAGCCAUUGAUGGGUCAGGGCUUUGUCGAUAUCUGCAUUAUUCGCUCUCUUUGGGUAUUUGCCAUAGAGAGGUUUUUCUUGCCAUUUAUUAUUCAGAAUAUCUAAGGCCGCAGUUUUGGCACGGGUUUUCAUGCGCCUAGCUUUUUCUGUGCUUGUUUCUUGUAUAUCUAUCUCUAAUUCCGAAAUUGGUUGUAUUCGGAAUUCACUUAGAUAUUCCUUUGCCUGUUUUGUGACUGAGUAUGAUGCUUUCUUGUUUUCAUGUUUUGAGACAAGUUUUAGCAUCCAGUCCUCAGAGUUUUUCAGGUAGGUGUCUAGGCCAAUUGUAGCAAUCUUCAUUGUUAUUGCCAGUUGCAAAAGACCACGGCCUCCCUCUUUUCUUGGCAGAUAGAGUCGUUCUGUAUCUGCCUUAGGGUGGUGCAUUCUAUGCAUUGUCAACAGUUUCCUUAUUUUUCUGUCGAGCUGACAUAUUUCAGUAAUUGACCAGUUAACAAUAUUGAAACUGUAAGUCACGACUGGUAUAGCUAAUGCAUUGAUUGCUUCGAUCCUGUUUCUUGCAUUCAGCUCUGUCUUGAGUAUAGCUCUUACUCUUCGAUAGCAUUCUCUCCUGAUCCUUUCCUUCAUCUCUGAAUGCCUUAUUCCGUUCCCUUCAAUUAUCCCUAGGUACUUGUAGCUCUCCGCUGGGUCUAGUUCUUUUAUGACAUUCUGUUGGUCAAGGUUAACGUUAGAUGUUUCUGUCAUUUUUCCUUUGAUAAAGGUAGCCUUUGCACAUUUAUCGAGGCCGAAUUGCAUUCUGAUGUCGUCACUGAAUUGUUUGACUAUCGCUAGUAAGCCCUUGAGUUGUUGAUCAUUUUUUGCAAAAGCUUUAAAUCAUCCAUGUAAACGAGAUGAUUUAUAUUUUUAUCAAACAUUUUAUACCCGUACUGCGCGUCAUUGAGCAGCUUUGAGAGAGGUAUUAAGGAUAAACAAAAGAGGAGUGGUGACAGUGAGUCACCCUGGAAAAUGCCACACGAAAUUUUUACAUCACCAGCAUUUAGGGAUUCACUGUCACUGUUCAGAGUUAGUGUGGUUCUCCAUGAUCUCAUACUUACAGUCAAGAAGUUUCGCAGAGUUGGUGCUAUCUUAUACAUUUCAAGGCAUUUCCUAAUCCAGCUAUGUGGUAGGCUAUCAAAAGCCUUUUUAUAGUCUAUCCAGGCUAUUGAUAAGUUUUUGUGUCGUUUGUGACAAUCUUCUAAGAUCAUCUUAUUGAUGAGUAGUUGGUCUUUACAGCCGUAGGAUCCACGUUUACAUCCUUUCUGUUCAUUAGGGAAUAUGCUGCUGUCUGUUAAAAAACUAUAGGUAUAUUCCGUCAGGACAGAUGUUAGUGUUUUGUACAUAGUUGUUAAGCAAGUUAUGGGUCUAUAGUUUUUUGGUUCAUUUGUUUCUUCACUUUUUGGAAAUGUUAACCCAUUAACUAGCCAGGGAGGCAUCCUACUAGGGUGUUGCAAAACAUCAUUGUACAGUUAUUAUUAUUAUUAUUAUUAUUAUUAUUAUUAUUAUUAUUAUUAUUAUUAUUAUUAUUAUUAUUAUUAUUCAGUAGUUUUAUUUUAUAGCGUGCUUUCACUUCACUACCGAGCACAGCUCUGUGUGCCUUGGGUAUGUGCUGUGAUUUGUUGUGAUGCUCUGAUGGUUACUGUAUUGAAGGUGUUUGGAGUCUUGCAUGCGUCGCGGGCUUGCUACCUGCAGCUUACAGAACCAUGCUAUCCGUUCUUUUCAGUUAAUACUUUCCUGAUUAUUCUGGCUCAGGUUGAGUCGUAUUCCUGGUAGAAUUUGUGUGGGUAGCGGGUUGCUACCUGUAACUUUAGGUAUCCACAAGUUUUCAGCUAUCUUUCAAGUGCUUAGAACCCUCCUGAUAAUCCUUGCUGUCCCUAGAAGACAAACUUUCUGUAGAAGUUCUACAAGGCAUUCUAAUCCAAUCUCUUUCAGCCAUUUGUCUACAUCUUGACUUACGCACCAAUUAUUAUAGGGACGACCUUUAUUGUUCUCAUGCUCCAAAUUAUUCCUAUUUCAAAUUUUAAGGGAUUGUAUUUUUUAUAUAUUUUUUGUCCUCUUAUUUUACGAUUUUAGAAUCAAACGGGCAUAAUGGAUCGAUAAGUAAGCAACUUCGAUUUUCCUUAUCUACAAUUGUUAUGUCCAGUCUAUUAUUUUCUAACUUCUUGUCUGUUUGAUUAGAGAGGUCCCACAAAAUCUUACAGUUUUCCAACUCCAGUACUCUUUCGACUCGGUGAUUGUACCAUGUGUUUCCAGCUUCAAAUCCCCAUUCCUGGCACUGUUUUCAAUGUAACACUUUUACAACCUAAUCGUGCCUCCGUUUCUUAUAUUCUUCCUGUGUCAACUUGGGGCAUUCUUCUAGCGCACUUUUCGACCCGAAAUUCCAUACCUACGUCAUUUGAGAAAAUGCAGACAGUAUGUACAAGACUUUCAAACUGUUUCUCAGUAUUCGCAUAAACCUUUAUAUCAUCCAUGAAAAGAAAAUGAUUUAUCUGACCAUUUCUUUUUUCCAAAUCGUAAGCAAUUUUACCUUUUCGUAGUAUCAUAGUGAGCGGUGUCAUGGCCAAUACGAGUAGUAAAGAAGCAAAGCUAUCAACUUGGAUGUUCCAUGUUUGAUGCUCACUUUUUAUUUUCCUCCGAUCAAUUCAGUAUUCCAAUAUUUCAUACUUUCAUUAAGGAUUUAUUAUUAUUAUUGUUGUUGUUGUUAUUGUUAUCGUCUGAAAGAGCUUUGCGAUAGUCAAACCAUGCCAUGCUCAGGUUUGUAUGUCUUCUCUUACAGUUCCUGGUAAUUAGAUUAUCAAUUAAGAGCUGAUCUUUCGUUCUCCGGCACCUUUUUCGGCCGGCACCCUUUCUAUUCACUGGGUAGCAGCCCAAUUUUUUCCAAGUAUCUUUGCAGUUCACCGACCAAAGCACCUAACAUUAGUUUCCACAUUAGCGGAAAGCAUGUUAUUGGUCUCAAGUUGGAUGCUUGGCACAUAACAAUGUCUUCCCCUUUGUCAUUCAGCUGGGUACUGCGCCUUCCUGCAAGCACUCAUCUAUCUGUUGUGCUAUCCUUUCAUGGAUCCCUCUCAACUUCUUCCUCCAAUACCCUUGGAACCCAUCGAGUCCUGGGCUCUUCCAGUUUGAAAAUUUUCUUAACUACAUUUUUAUCAUUUCUGUAGUUACCUUUAUGUCUUCUUGAACUUCUAUAUUUCUUAACCUAUCUUGUAUUUCAUGCAGCCACUCAGCUUCAUCAUUAUGCCCCGACGAUAUCACAAAUUUGCAGUGGGACCUAAAUGCAAUAUACAAGUGGAUUGAACAAAUCAACAAGCUGUUUAAUUCAUGAAAAUUUCAAGCACUGUGCUAUCAGCUCACAAAUGCAUCAUAGCCUGCAAAUACGGGACCCGAAGGCACUGCAGCCUUAGAGUCACAGACAGUGAGAGAUCUAGGGAUCAUUGUAUUUAAUGACGCAUCAUUUCGUGUACAUUACCAACUUGGCAACAAAGUGUAGAUAAUUCGCAGGGUGGGUGCCGAAGUCCUUCAGGACAAGAGAAUAAAGAAGUCAGGUCGACCCUGUGGAAACCUUUGUUAUUAGCCGUCUAGACUACUAUUCUCAGCCGUGGUCACCGCAUUGUGGCAAACUAAUAGCGGAGCAUGGAGCGAUGCACUAAAAUUAUUGCCACAGUGCAGCAGAUGAACUACUGGGAAAAGUUGAAAAAUCUACAACUUUAUUCUCUGGACCGGAGAUGCAAGAGAUAUGUAAUAAUUUACGUGUAGAAAAUUCUGGAAGGGUUAGUAGAUAACUUUGGCAUCAAGAGUUAUGCAGUAUUAACGGUACUGUUCCCUCGGUCAAAAGUGGGGACAAGGUACUAUAAUAGCUUAAGAUUCAAAGGCUCACGGCUAUUUAAAGUUCUGUCAAAGAGGAACUAGACAUUCUCCUAUCAAUGAUACCAAAUGUAUCAACGUAACAGCUAGAGGUACAGAUGCGUGCGGCGGUGUCAAACUCCUACAUACACCAAAUGAGCCAACAACCAGAAAAAAAAGCACACGCAAGAGUGGUGAUAUGAAAUCCCGUCACCGUGAGAAAAUCAACCACAUAAGGGAACUGUUGAAAGGUUAUAAAGCCACGGUGGUGUUCCAGCAUGAUCGCAACCGCGUGGCUGAAAUGUAUAAAAGAAGUGAAAGAAAAUUGGUUAAUGUUAAGGUAAAUGAGAUGUUUUUAAGUAAAUUCCUCAUUGCACAGUGAACAUUUGAUUGCAGAGUUAUCAGUACAAAGAGUAUAGUAACACACAGACAGAGAGGAAGCGUAACGCUUUACAGAAUUCAAAGCCGUGUUUAUUCACGGCAUAAGACCAAAGAUUUGCUACAACACCCCAAAAUAUAUAAUGAAGUAGAUUAUAAAAAAAUAAUUGCAGAAUAUGUGGAUGCUGUGACAAAAAUAUUAUCCUUUGUACUGUGUUCAGACCAAAAGCAAUAAUGUAAAUUGACAUGAUAGAGUUUCAAGUUUCAUACGUUAUGGACUACGCACCCAUAAGAGAUGGUACAAACACACGCCUCACGCGGUCUCUGAUAAUAGCAACGUGACCGUUAUACCGAUUCACACAGGCAGGAAUAUUGCGAAAGAUGGCCCGGAUAUUACCGACAAACAUCACCAGGAAAAGAAAUAUAAGAUGGAAACGGUGAUUCAGUUCCUGGACGCCAAUAUAUGUUUCCGAAAGAAAUAGAAUAAUAGCGAAAUAACAAGAUAUGGAUAUAGAAACAAUAAUGAUAGAUACCAAGAGAAGAAUAAAAAGACAUGACGACAAAUACAAAAAUGUAAACCAGAACUUAUAUGCAUAAACAACACACAGAACGUAGCAUUUCUCUCUCUCUCUCUCUCUCUCCCUCUCUCUCUCUCUCACACACACACACACACACACACACACACAUACACACACACACACACACUUGUCCAGUUACAGUACCUUCUUCCAGUUUAAUCUCUAGGCAAAAAUCGAAUUAUAUUUGCCAUUGUCACAGACAUUUCAUGAAAUAAACUUAUUAGAGGAAACUUCUCUCUCUCUACCAUCACCGGUCGUGGCUGCUAUGUAAGAAGCUUGCUUCCCAACCACAUCGUUCCGGGUUCAGUCCCACUGCGUGGCACCUUGGGCAAGUGUCUUCUACUAUAGCCUUGAGAAUGGAUUUGGUAGACGGAAACUGAAAGAAGCCCGUUGUAUGUAUAUAUAUAUGUAUGUAUGUAUGUAUGUAUGUGUGUAUAUAUGUGUGUGUAUGUAUAUAUUCAUGUGUGCGUGUGUAUUUGUGUCUGUGCUUGUCGCCCCCGACCUUUGCUUGACAACCAAUGUUGGUGUUUACGUCCCCGUAAGUUUACGGUUCGGCAUAAGAGAUCGAUAGAAUAAGUACUAGACUUACAAAGAAUAAGUGCUGAGGUCGAUUUAUUCCACUAAAACCUUUUAAGGUUGUGUUCCAGCAUGGCCGCAGUUAAAUGACUGAAGCAAAUGAAAGAUCCACAAUCUGAUCUCGUGAACAGUGAACAAGUGCACAGAGGAUGGUUUCGUCGUUCUUUCCACAUAUCAAAAAGAUAACACUGAUGACCUUGUAGUGUCUUGUGAGCAGUGGCGGCUCGUAGAUCAAAUUAGUUGGGGUGCCGCUUCAGAAAAUUUUUAGCCGUUGUUUUAAUAUUCUUUUUUUUCUACUCUAGGCACAAGGCUC